CCCACACAUACUUUAGUUUGUCAUUCUUCUCUUUCUUUUUGCAGGUGUUGUUAAAAAAAUGCAAAAGGCUCCACUUGCCAAGAUGCAUGUGUACUUAGCUAUUUACAGCUUUAAAUGAGAAAAUAAGCCUUCGUAGAAUUCUGAAAAUGUUGAAAUUGUUUGGGGAGUGGGGUUUGCUUCAUUUUUACAAAUAUGUCUGUGUCAGAAUGUUCUGGAGGUUUAUGCCAGGAAACUGCGCUGCAUAAUACGGAGUUCCGUGGAGGGAAAGAGGAACAACUCUGCCUUUGGCAACUGCUACAUCCACCUGAUGGUUGAAAUAGACGUGCUGAUUUUCAGGCUCUACCCAAGAUCAUCGUUCAAAAGACUGAUUGCACUAAUCCAGCAGAAAACCAUCUGAAAUAGUCUCAUGGAGAGGCCUGAUAUAUGUUACAGCUAAAGCAAGGUAAACAGAGACAGCAUGCAGUAGGGAGCAGUGACAAGGUGUUAGAUUGGCUCAAGCUGUCUUGUGUAAUUUUGUUUUUGGAAGUGAAGUGACACAGCUUUUGUAGCUUGGAUAUGAAAAGUAGUGUUAGCUCUGUUUGGUCUUUUUUUGUUGUUUGUUUGAGUUUUGGUGGAUUUUUUUUUUUUAACUGCAUGGUAGUUCUAGUACUUAUCAUCUGUGCUGGUUUUGCUGGGAUAGAGUUCAUUUUCUUCACAGUAGCUAGUAUGGGGCUGUGCUUUGGAUUUGUAAUGGCAACAGCAUGGAUAAUUUGGGGAUAUUUUUGUUGCCGGGGGGCACUUACACAGACCCAAGGCCUUUUCUGCCUCUCACACACCACUGAGUGGGCUGGGGGACACAAGGAAUUGGGAGGGGACACAUUCAGGAUAGGUGACCCCAACUGACCCAAGGGAUAUCCCAGACUGCACGGCAUUGUGCUAAGGGUAUAUAGCUGGGGGAACAAGAGGAAAGCAGGGGAGAGGCUCAGAAUGAUGGCAUUUGUCUUCCCAGUGAUGGGGAUGGCUGAACACCUACCUGCCCAUGGGAAGUGGUAAAUUAAUUCCUUGUUUUCCUUUGCUUGCAUGCAUGGAUUUUGCUCUCCCUAUGUAGCUGUCUUUAUCACAACACACAAGUUUUCUCAUUUUAACUCUUCUGAUUCUCUCCCCCAUCCCAUGGAGCAGCUGGGUGGGGCUUUCUUGCUGGCUGGGCCUAAACCAUGACAUCACAUAUUGAGAAAGCUUACUUUAGGAUUGAAAUGAUACUGGGACCUUGGAAUUUAUUUGGAAAGAGCUACUAAAAUGUUAAUGAGUUUUUUUAAUAUGAUUUUACAGCUCCUGUUAAUACCUAAGUUGGUCAAAGCUUUGAGAGAGAUAUGUCCAGUUGUGUCUCCAGUCCCCUGCAAACUAAUUACCAGUGAUCAAAGGCUUGCUAAAUACUUUAAAAAAAUUUAUUAGAAAAUUAAGUUGACUUUUUAACCUUUUUCAACAGAGAACAUUUAUCUAUUAGGGAAGAGAAAACUGGAGUAAUGAUGGAUUAUAUACAGUUUUCCUCUGCCCAACGUAUGCUUGCUUUGAGAAAGUCAAUGAUUUUCAAGCUCCAGCAAAGUGUUCCCAAUUCCCUUUAAUUCCUAAGAAGCUCUUCUUGUCCUACUCAAUGCCCUGUGGGUACAAGCAUCUUGAUGUGAGCCUGCUCAACCAUUUGGUUUUUGAAAUAUUCUCCCUCUGAGCAUCUCUGUCCAGGUUGUCUUGCUGUUUAUUUAGAAGAAUAUAAUCAUACAGAGGGAGCAUGUGUAGCUGUGCACAAAACUGAACUCCCAAAUACAGUAUCCAUCACAUGAUCAUUAAAAUAGUUUGAGCUGUAGAUGUAAUUGCCAUUUGUUACUGACAGUCAUCACUGUGCACUGAAAAGUUGUAUGUAUAAAAAUUAAUUUCAAUGUCUAAAACCUAAAUUAUAUGUCUAAUUUUGUAUUUCUGUUCAACUGAAAACAUGAAAAAAUUAUUUUGGAGGGGAAAAAAGGACUUUCAAGUCAAAUCUUGCAUAGGUAGAAAUUUCCUUCUUUUCUUUCUUCUUUCCUUCUAUUUUUUUUUUUUCCUAAAUAACUGUAUUAUAUUUUAAAUAGCUUUGAAACUUACUUUGGGUGAUUCUUUAUGACCUUCUUUUAAUGAAACCCAUAAAAAAUUUCACUGGAAAAAUAAUGUCAUGCUUUAGUAAUGAAUACGGAAAUCACUUUCAUUAAAAGGAACAUAUACAUUUAGACUUAGACUACUUAUUGACCUAUUUAACUUGGAAUAUCAGCCUAUGCACCUUCAUAAAGAAGUCCAGACACAUACAGGGACAUAACAGCAAGCACUUGUUUACUUCAGAAUCAAAAGUUGGUCUGCAACAUGUCUAAUUCAAAAUUAUAGCAAAACAAUAAUUUAAAAAACCUACAGCAAAAUGAAAUAUUAAAUACCCAAAAACCCCCUCAAACCCACAAUAAAACCAACAAAAAGAAACAGUUUUUCUUCAUUCUCAUUUUAUCUGUGAUGACAGAUGUUACUCGGUCUUUUAGAAGUGAGGAUCUCUUCAACAAUUAUUGCUAAGAAGUUAGAGUUUAGUUAUCCUAAAUUAUCUGAGAUUAUUGACUUUAAUUAAGUUAGUUUCCGGAAAGAGGGCAUGAUUUCUCUGCUUCCUGCUGGUCUGCUGAGCCCUUAUAAUUUAUUUUUAUUUUAAUGUUAAUAUUCCUUUUUCUAGCCAUACUAUUGAUGCUAGGAAGGAUUUUGAGAAAAUAGGGUAAUGUUAUUCACACAGAGCCUUUGAACUAUUUUUUGUAGGGAACAGACUAUUGAUUGUGUCAGCAUCUCUCACACUUUGUGCAAAGACUCAGCAUGGAAGAACAACUCGUUCUACAAUGAAACAUAAGACAUGAUUGCCUGGAAUUGAUCUGAUUAGUCCCAAAAGCACUACAAUAUUUUCCUCAACUGAUUUGACAUAGAAUUCACCCAAAUUGAUUUUUAAAUAUAUAAAUAUACAUUGCUGCCAUUUUAUUUAAUCCUGUUCUAGACAUAAGACUCUUCUAACAUAUUGAGCUUUGCAACCAAAUACCUACAUGAAAGGUUAAUUGGAAGAAAAACAAAAUGCCUGUGCUCUGUUUCAAAACCCAAUCUUACUGAAGCUUACAGAGCAUGUGUUUUAAAUGGCAUAUUAGCACCAAAAGGCUGUCUGUAUGGAAUUACCUUUAACUAGCAUGUCAAAUCUGCCCACGGUUUCUUGCUAUGAAUUAAAUUGGAAGUCUAUUUAAAAGUAUUUAAGCUUUAAAAUAUGGACUUUUGGAUACUAUUUUUUAUUUGAUGUGCUGUAAGGAAUUGUUUAAUCAAAUUAAUGGGAAUAAAUGGUGUAAUAUAAUAGCUACUUGUGAUGCUUUUCUUAUAAGUCUUAUUAUCUAUGAAAGUUACAGAUCAAAUUCUUCUUCCAGAUAAAUUGUUGUGAGAUCAGCGCCACACAGUUUUACAAGCGCCACUCAGAGUUACAAGCAAUGUCUUUCAGCAAUUGCACAUCAUAUUUCUUUGAAUAUUUUUCUAAAUCUGACAGACAAAUUCAACCAUAAUACUAGCUGAAUGCUCUCUAGUUUACAUCACAAUGAAGUGAACCAUUGCAGCCCAUUUUUGAGGACUGUCCUUGGGAACUCUUUCAUAAUAUACUGGCUACAAUGGCUGCGUUUGUUGACAUUUCUAUUCAAUCCUACAGCCUAGAUGUGCCUUACUUCACUGUGAUCCUGGAGGAAAUCUAUUGAAGGCAAUGGAGGUACAUGAGUUUAAAUGGCUGAACAAGGAGAAAUGCGUCACGUGAGUUAGCGUAGACAAGGAUGAAUCCACUGUCCUCAUUUAACUUGCAGCUUAAGCUUGUGGCAUUCCCUGAAGUUUCUGGAGGUAGGAGAAUGGUGCACUACUUCACUAUCAUCCUGCCAAGUACAUCUGUGUGGCUUUUAUUAGGUCUGCAAUUUAGGUUCAGUAUAAAGUAAAAGAGAAGAAAUUCUGGUUUAUCAGUUUUAUGACAGUGUCACUCUUUCACUGCCAAAGUGGAAAAGUGAUUUCCUGUCAGCUCAGCUGCUGAACGAGUAGAUAUCCACUGGGGUUUAAGGGGCAAUACUUUUGGGACAUCAGACCUUUCCUCGUCUUAAGGGAUAAAUCUAAAAUCUUGGCAAGAUUCUUAUUUUCAAUUUGUAUGGCAGAGUUUAGGUGCAGUCUCAGACCAUUAAUAUGGCAGAUGAUGAUUUGGGAAUGAACAGUGCCCAGAGUUUGACCCGUUGUGCCAGGGUUCACAUUGUGGGCUGCUGUGCCAAGCCUGGGAACAGUGCAGUGUUCACCCUCCCCUGGCAGCACCCAGUGAAGGGAGGGGAUCUGGGCUGAGCUGGGCAGGGCCAGGGGUGCUGAUGGCUCGAGCUCAGCCACAAAAGCAGUCCCUGCUCUGGGACAGCAUCAGGGGAGGGAACAGCCAGACACAUUUCCAGGGUGGGGGGCAAGGUUACAGUGAUAAGACGGAUCCAAGGGCAAGCCAGUCUGUGGGUCAGGGGCAGAAUCUGAUGGAUGGGGAAAUGCUGGAGGGAUGGAUGGAUGGAUGGAUGUGGAAAUGCUGGGGUGUGGUAAGUCUGCAACACAGAUGGAGUGUAUUACCUACAGCUGAAGCCAAUCUUGAGAGCCUCAGUUUAAAAGCAGACCCCAGGGAAAGGGUGUGGGCUUUGUUAAUGUUCAGCUGUUUUGCUUUGUGCUCUUUCUCAAUUAGUCCUGAGCUGAGGCGGUCAAAACCCUCAGAAAGGGGAGGAUACAGUAAAAGCCUUUAGGCUCUGCAUUUGUGUUAUAUCUGUGUAUGAUAAGAUGGGAAAGGUCACGAUUAGAGCAAAUUGGUUGCUGUUUUAAGCUACUGUAGCUGGACUUUUAGAACCCCUUGUGGUUAAAUGUUUAUGAGGGUAACUUGGACUGCUGCUGAAGAUUCUUUCUGGAUGAAGACUGCUGUGGACUCUCCAUUUGUGAGUAAGUCAAAUAGGUGAUAACAAAACUAAAAACUCCUAUAAAGUACAUAUUCCUAUUCACAGAAAAAAUUUACAUGCUUGUGUCUUGUUGUUGUUGUUGCUGUUUGUUUGGGUUUUUUAAAAAAAAUUCCUAAAAUCUUGGAAUUCUGAGGUGUAUAAUCUCAGGAUUAUUGUUUUAACAUCUGCCCCUUUUUAGAAGUAAUACAUCUUUUUUAGAAGAGGUCAGCUUGUGCAUUUUGCUGGCUGUACUUCUCAAGGGGUAGUAAUUUAUUUUUUUCUCCUUUUUUCCCUUCCUACUUACCCAUGCACUCUGUGAUACUUAAAAUGAGUUUGGUAUUUCUACUGGUGGUUCCUUUAGAAUUGACUGAGUUUUGUGUCUGAGGCUUUCACAAUGACCCUAGGAGCUCUAACUGUGGUUUUUCUCCUUGAAAAUAAGACUCAUUUCACAGCAUUAAUCUAUGAAUAUCUGUUUGAGGAGACCAUACUUUCCUUGGUAAUAGGUAAGGCAUACAAAACCCCUUCUCCUCUGCAGCAGUUCACAGUUUUUGAUGACUUCCAGCUGACCCCAUCACCUCAGAAUUGGAAGUUCUUCCAAAUGUAAACUUAAAAAUAGGGUUGUUAAUUUAUAGUACUGCAGCUCUGCCUAGCGAUGGUGACUUGCCUAGAUAAGUCUCCCAUAUUAGUUUAACCCUGUACACUGAAAUAUAGAACUUUUGUUCUAUAUUCUUGUUGCCUAACUUGGGUGGUUUGGAAUCUUAAAAGUUUACCAAGCAUCUACCUUAAAUUUUCCCUCUUAUAUUUAAUAAAACCAAAAUUUGGACAAAUGACCUCCAGCUGUUGACUUGACACUGCGGAAAUGUUUUAGGGUUGGAUCACAGCAGAGCUUUCAGGAUAUGUAUUAUGAAAUCUAACACCAAAUUUUAUGUCCCUUUUUCAGUGUAGGUUCUUUUCUCCUCUUUAGCACCCUGCUCAGCCUCCUCUACCCCAAUGCACCUAUCAUCCUACAUGGCAAAAAAGCUCAGCUUGUUAUUGGACACUUCCUUUUAAAUUCUCAGUAUACAGACUUUUUCAUAAUGUGACAAGCAGCCAUUUGCACAUGAAGAUUAUACCAGUAGUACUGUGCUGUCCUUCUUGCUGAAGACACUGACAAAGCAGGUUCUGGGAGCUCAUACUAAACCCAACUGCUGUAGUUUUUAAAGCAGCAGUUUGGUAUGUGAGCAUCUAUUCUUACUUGUAGCACCCUGGGAAAGUGCCUGUGGACCCACAGCUCCUCUAUCCCUGUGAAAGAGAAUAAUAGGUAUGUAAAGUCUCUCUAACCACUUGCACAGGUAUUCAUAACAUAACACAGAACAUUCUUAUCUGUGAGCAUAGCUUGCUUUCACUAUCAAAUGAAGACUUCAGUUUCUUAAAAAAAACCCAAAAAAAGAUGGAUGUAAAUAUAUAAAUCUCUGUGACUGUUACUUUUUGACAAAUGAUACAGGCAGCCAGGUAAUUUAUUCAGGUUUCUUUGUUAGUUAUCCAGUGCUGAAGUCCAGAUUUUAAUCUGUAGUGAAGUACAAGGAUGGGAGGUGCUUGAAGAUCCCAAUUGUACAUUGAUAUCCAGGUAAAGUAAGAACUAGCAGGUGAAGGUGUCUCCCUGUCCUGCAGAGCAAGAACUACUGUCUUUUGCCAGAAUGGUCAAAAAAAUGUAGCAAGGAAAAGCCCCCUUGUUACCCAUUGGUGUAGUGAGGUUGACUGUGGUCUUUCUAGUUUUUUCUGCCUGGGUGGUGAUCAAGUGAGCUGUCAUAGUGGAGCGAGUCUGAGUGAGAAGGUUUGGAGUAAAAGCCAUGUCCUUGGUUAGCGAUGUCUAUGUUCUUUUCACUCCUGUUGAAGAUUUGUGCUUUAAUCCAGCAGAAAAGCUCACAGCCUCUCCUCACUGCUGAUUUUCUGCCUGAUCCUUUGGUUAAGUCAUAAUCCUAUGUGUGGCAUUGCAGUCAUGAAAAUUAUGUCACAAGUCCAGCAUAAUGUUUUUUUCUGUAGGAUGAAGUAGUAAAAGGAAAGGAGCUGAGAGAGGGAAAAAUGCAGUUUAUAGAAAUAUUUGAGAAAUAGAAUGGUAUUUCUUCCUUUCUUUGAAUUUAGUAGCUCUUCAGUAUGCAGCAUACAGACCCGAGGACUUCUACAGCAAAAGAGGCUUUGGUCUGUGUUUUCCUCUUUCCUAUGUUCUCAUAUUAAUCACAUUUCCUUUUGCUUGGGGAGGGAACAUAAUUGUGAGUAUUUUUUUUUGUGAGUAUGUAUAUUUGUAACAACUUUAUAAUUAGAACAGUCACUCCAGAGGGGAAAAAACCAACCCAAAUAUUUUUGCUGGAGGACUGAACUGGGACUUGAGAAUCAGUGGAUAAUGUUUUCAACCUUGGCUUUUAACAUAUUAGGUUAUAUUGGAGUGGGUGCUGUCUUUCCACAUGCACUCACAACACAUCUAAUCUCUUUUGUCAAAAGCAGAAGUGCUACUAUAACAUAAUAAAAUAUCACUGCAUAGCAUUUAUGACACUGCAAAUAACGGGCAGGGCUGAACACAUCUGCGUGCUCAGGCCUGCAUAUUUCAUGAAAAUAGUGAUACUGUUCCAACUUUAAAAUGUUCUUUUUAUUUACUGCUUUCUUUAUAGACACUUGUAAGAUGUUUAUCGCCCAGUUAUCUUUAAUAUUUAAGUGCUACAUAUUUUGAUAAAUGUCAACACAGCUGCAGAGAAUGACAGGGAUUAAUUUAUAUAAUUCUGCAGCUUUUUAGCACAAAUAUUGUAGCUGUUUAAAUAAUUACAUGGAAGUUUUUUAAAGUUGCAUUAACUUGAAAUCAAAGCAGAGUCUGGCCUACACUGGUUCUGCACUAAGUUGUCCUUUACAAAGUAAAAUUACAUCAGAUGACAGCAGUAGAAUGACCAUUAGAAGGUUUUGUAAUUUUUCUGCCUUCAGUUAAGGAAAGUGAACCAACUUGAAUUCAUUGUUUAAAUUUCCAAGGAAUGAUUCUUAUUGUCUGAUGUCUUAUCUUAUUAUUGUUAUAAAGAAAAUAUGUAAUUUGUGCUAUUCUAUAUAAAACUGAAAUGUAAUUAGACCCUACAGAGACCGAGUUUCUAAAUCCCUGCACCAGCCUGGCUGAGAGAAAAAUUUCACAACACUAAAAGUAUUUCUUUCACAGUAAGUGAGGAUUCCACCUAGGUGGGGUUGGAUCUUAUCACCGGGACAUUUGCACCAUGACGACUUGAUCACCACACUCUGAUAUCUACAUCUCAUCUGAUAAGGAAUCGGACAUUCCAGGAACUAAAAGUAACUGUUCUGGGAAUGGCCCACUCACCACCCAGGAUGGACAAUUCAUCAGACCCAGGAAAGGCUUUGUGCGGCCCAACUCCGGGACAAGAAAACUUCAUGAAUACGAGAAGAAUAGCAUUAACUCGGACUCUGCCCAAAAACUGUAUAAGAAGGAACCAGCCGAAGCAGCACUCGUGAACUUGGGAGGUCUGGUGCGAUAGAGAUCAGAUCUAUGCGUGUUCACCCAGCUCCGACCCCGGGCUCGGGGCUGUUUUUCUCGAUCGUGGCGUUUGAAAGCGAUAUUUUGGUCGCAUAAUAAAUGUCAUGUCUUUAUAAAUUUUGAUUGGGCAACCCUGUUUAUGUUAUGAUGAUCUUUUAGCUGCAGUAUGGAACUGAGACAAUGAAAUUUUUCAAUAGAAAGCAUGUUUUCUCCUUUGGCAACUGGAGUUAUCACUAGAUGUAAUAAAUAAAGUGAUUUCUAAAUGGA